UACGUAGGGUCCGAGCGUUGUCCGGAAUUACUGGGCGUAAAGAGAUCGUAGGUGGUUUGUCGCGUUGUUCGUGAAAACUCACAGCUCAACUGUGGGCGUGCGGGCGAUACGGGCAGACUUGAGUACUGCAGGGGAGACUGGAAUUCCUGGUGUAGCGGUGGAAUGCGCAGAUAUCAGGAGGAACACCGGUGGCGAAGGCGGGUCUCUGGGCAGUAACUGACGCUGAGGAGCGAAAGCGUGGGGAGCGAACAGG
rnacentral:rRNA from 1 species